AUGGGCUUUAGGGACUUCCACUCUUUCAAUUUGGCAAUGCUCUCGAAACAAUGUUGGCGACUUAUCACCAACCCAGAUUCUCUUUGUGCUCGAGUUUUGAAAGUAAAAUAUUAUCCAAAUGUAAAUUUACUCCAAGCAACACUGAAAAGCGGAGCAUCAUUUACAUGGCAAAGUAUUAUGAAGGGGUUAGAAACUUUCAAGUUGGGAUAUAUAUGGCGCAUCGAAACUGGAGAGAAUGUGAAUAUAUGGAGUGAUCCUUGGGUGCCAGCCAGCCCGGAUAGGAAGGUUAUCUCAAACCGAGGUCAAACUAUUCUCUCGGUCGUCAGUGAUCUCAUUGACCCUCAUACGGGAGCAUGGGACGAGCCCCUGAUCCGUUCUAUUUUUAAUCCUGUUGACGCUAGAAGGAUCAUGCAAAUCCCAAUUAAUCAUAAUGCAUUUGAUGAUUUUAUUGCCUAGAACCCAGAUCGAAGGGGUAUUUUUUCAGUUCGUUCGGCGUACCGCUUACAAUGGAUUCAAUCUUUUCAGGCGCAUGCAAAUGUAUUGGCACGCCCAGCUGGAUCAAACUUACCGGAAGUAUGGUCUACACUGUGGAAACUGCAGGUUCCACGUAAGAUUCAGAUUUCUUGUUGGCGUGCACUUCAUGGAAUUAUCCCCCUAAGAUCCAUACUCACUAAUAGACAUGUGGGUACCAAUGGCUCAUGUCCGAUUUGUCACCAGGAUGCAGAAGAUGUACGCCAUCUGCUUUUUGACUGUACACAUGCAAAGGAAUUGUGGCUUCGACUGGGUAUACUGGAUAUUGUU
rnacentral:rRNA from 1 species